rnacentral:rRNA from 1 species
CAGUCGCCGCGGUAAAACGUAGGGUGCAAGCGUUAAUCGGAAUUACUGGGCGUAAAGCGUGCGCAGGCGGUUGUGUAAGACAGGUGUGAAAUCCCCGGGCUUAACCUGGGAAUUGCAUUUGUGACUGCACGACUAGAGUGUGUCAGAGGGGGGUGGAAUUCCACGUGUAGCAGUGAAAUGCGUAGAUAUGUGGAGGAACACCAAUGGCGAAGGCAGCCCCCUGGGAUAACACUGACGCUCAUGCACGAAAGCGUGGGGAGCAAACAGGAUUAGAUACCCGCGUAGUCCCUGUCUCUUAUAC